rnacentral:rRNA from 1 species
GAUGAACGCUGGCGGCGUGCCUAAUACAUGCAAGUCGAGCGAACAGACGAGGAGCUUGCUCCUCUGACGUUAGCGGCGGACGGGUGAGUAACACGUGGAUAACCUACCUAUAAGACUGGGAUAACUUCGGGAAACCGGAGCUAAUACCGGAUAAUAUAUUGAACCGCAUGGUUCAAUAGUGAAAGACGGUUUUGCUGGCACUUAUAGAUGGAUCCGCGCCGCAUUAGCUAGUUGGUAAGGUAACGGCUUACCAAGGCAACGAUGCGUAGCCGACCUGAGAGGGUGAUCGGCCACACUGGAACUGAGACACGGUCCAGACUCCUACGGGAGGCAGCAGUAGGGAAUCUUCCGCAAUGGGCGAAAGCCUGACGGAGCAACGCCGCGUGAGUGAUGAAGGUCUUCGGAUCGUAAAACUCUGUUAUUAGGGAAGAACAAAUGUGUAAGUAACUAUGCACGUCUUGACGGUACCUAAUCAGAAAGCCACGGCUAACUACGU